GAUGAACGCUAGCGGCAGGCCUAAUACAUGCAAGUCGAACGGGAUCCAGAUCAAAGCUUGCUUUGGUUUGGUGAGAGUGGCGCACGGGUGCGUAACGCGUGAGCAACCUACCCUUGUCAGGGGGAUAGCCCGGCGAAAGUCGGAUUAAUACCGCAUGACAUCAUUGAGAGGCAUCUUUCGAUGAUCAAAGAUUUACCGGACAAGGAUGGGCUCGCGUGACAUUAGCUAGUUGGUAAGGUAACGGCUUACCAAGGCUACGAUGUCUAGGGGCUCUGAGAGGAGAAUCCCCCACACUGGUACUGAGACACGGACCAGACUCCUACGGGAGGCAGCAGUAAGGAAUAUUGGUCAAUGGACGGAAGUCUGAACCAGCCAUGCCGCGUGCAGGAAGACGGCCCUAUGGGUUGUAAACUGCUUUUAUACGGGAACAAACGUCGGUACGUGUACCGGUCUGAGUGUACCGUAAGAAUAAGGAUCGGCUAACUCCGUG
rnacentral:rRNA from 1 species